GUUGACAUUUUUGUAAUUUUUCAAGAAAAUCUCCGAUUUUACGAAUUUUCAGCCGUUCUAUUUUAGGACGAAUGACUGAUAAGAGUUUCUCGAGUUUUUACGUUGAUUCCGCAUCAGUCAUGUGUAUUGUCAGCGAACUGGAGGUUUUGGUGAACGUUCUAUGAAUAGUGCAAAGCUUGAUUUGAGGAACAGAGAAGUCUGUCGCAUUUAGUAAUAUGCAAUGGAAAUGCAAGGGUUGGAAGGGGCGAUGGCUGUGGAUGCUCCUGGCGGCGGCAGUGGGGCCGCUAGUGCUCGCGCAGAAGAUCGGGGAUCCUUACCAGAUCCUUGGAAUACACCCCAAGGCUUCAAUGCCCGAAAUACGCAAAGCAUACAAAGCUCUGGCCAAAGAAUGGCACCCAGACAAAAAUGAACAUCCAAAUGCGGAGACUCGGUUUGUGGAAAUCAAGCAAGCAUACGAGCUGUUAUCAGAUUCAGAACGGAGACAAGCGUACGACUUGUAUGGUAUCACCAAUGAGGACGACUAUCUAUAUAAACAAAGACAUGACUACAGCCAGUAUGCACGGUUCAGCAAUGAUCCUUUUGAAGAGUUCUUUGGAGCCCACUUUAGGACACAAGAUCAAGAUAUAACUCUAUUUCAUAAGCUCUCAGUUACAACACGACACUUCGAAAACAACAUAUUAGAAAAGAGUGUGCACACACCAGCAUUAGUGUUGUUCUACACGGACUGGUGUUUCGAAUGCGUGCGCUCAGCCGCGGCAUGGCGCCGCCUGGUCGACGCGCUCCAACCACUAGGCGUUACCAUGGCAACGGUGCAUAAGGCGCAUGAAGCGGCCCUGGCGAGGAGGAUUGGUGUGCACACAGUACCGUGUCUCACGCUGGUGCUUGACAAACAUGUGUAUUUGUAUAAGGAGGGGCUGGCGUCGCUGCCCAAGAUACUGGACUUCAUGCGCUGGAAGUUCCCAUACAAGAUGGUGACGAGCAUCAACGACGGUAACGUGGAGUCGUUCGUGACGGACUUUGAAGAUAACAAGGUGAAGGCGCUCAUCUUCGAGGAGCGGCAGACCAUCCGCCUCCGAUACCUCAUCACUGCAUUCCAUUAUAGAGAUAGAUUAUCUUUCGGCUUCGUAGACAUGACUUCGCGAGACGCACAGAAUGUCUCGGAACGUUUCAAGGUGCAGCGCAACAUGGACACGAUGGUGGUGCUGAAGGAAGACAGCGAGGAGCCGGCGGCCACCGUGAGCACCACGGAGAUACCCACGCAAACGCUGCGGGAACUCAUCGAGGCCAACCAGAUGCUCACGUUGCCGCGGCUGUCUUCACAGAGCGUCCUGGACACGAUCUGCCCGGUGGAGUGGCGCGCCAGCCGGCGCCGGCUGUGCUGCGUGCUGCUGGUGGGCGCGGGCGGCGCGGCGGCCGCGGCGCGCGCGCAGCUGCGGCCGCUGGCGCGCCAGGCGCCCGAGCGCCUGCACUACGCCUACGUCUACACGCACGCGCAGCCCGGCUUCGUGCAGGCGCUCGCUAAUGGAUCUGGAAGUGACUCCUCCCAAAUGGAACACCGCAUCGUCAUAAUAUGGCGACGCGAGGCCACGCGCAUACAAUACGAGUGGCUCAACGAGACAUGGCCGAGCUGCUCGCGCUCGUACUGCCGCGAUGAAAGCAGCGAGGAAGCCAUCAAGUACCAGCAACAGCUAAAUGACACCAAGCGAGCGCUCCAACACCUCAUCAAGAGGCUGCUCAAACCCACCGAGGUUCUAGCCUACGAGACUCACGUGCAGGAACUACUAGACGAAGCGGCGAAGGGCGCGCUAUGGCACGCUAUAGUGAAACUGUGCGAGUGGACGGAGCGAGCGGUGGCCGCGUUGAAGACACAACGGGCCAUAUCCGCCGUGUCGGUGCUGGUGACGGUCUCGCUCGUACUCGCGGCCGGAUACUUCAUGGCUUACCUCAUACGCGUAGAAGAAGAGUCGGUGCAGAAGGCGAAGGAAGAGCGUCGCAAGCAGAAUGGUGCCAGCAAGAAGAAUAACAAUGAACCGCAGCCAGAGCUCCGGCUGCACGAGCUGCGCGCUGAGAAGUACAACGGACUUGUCAGACUAUUGAAGCCGGGAUGCCGAACUAUCGUGCUGCUGGUGGACGCGCAGAGUCGGGUGAUGUUGUUGUCCAAAUUCCACAAGAUCGUUUGGCCGUAUCGCAAGAACAAGACCCUCCUCUUCGCGUACCUGAUGGUUGAGCGCAACAUCGAGUGGUUCCGCCGCCUGCUGCAGCUGUCCCUCGGCGGCGGCGAGCUGCGGGUGAACGCCCGCAACUGCGUGGGCACCGUGCUGGCGCUCAACCCGCACCGCAAGUACUUCUGCAUCUACCACGCCAAGCACCCUGAGUGCACUAAACCGCAUAAGCGCAUGUCCCGCAUGACGCGGUCGCUGGGCGGCGGCGCGGCGGACCCCGAGGCGGGCGCCUUCAUCGGGUUCCACACCGACCCCGACUCCAGCUCCGGGGACGACGCGCCGCCGCGGCGCCCCGCCCAGCCGCUGCUGCAGGAGAACCUUCUGGACGGAUUAGAGAACUGGUUGGACCGCCUGUUCGAAGGCAGCACACACCGCUAUUACAUCAACUACUGGCCAGACAUGACCACCAAAUGAGGCCUAACCUAUGGCCGAGGUGCUAAGAUACAAAAUGAUUCAACUUGAGGAAUCCUGAGCCUGUAUUGUUAUAUACAUAAGCCUGAUACGUUACAUUUAAAAAUGGAACAUUUUUGUUUUUAUUAGGAAAAAGCGUUUAUUUUUCUGUCGUUCAUAAGGAAAUAUACUGCCCUACGUGUAUUAAGAUUUUCGACCACAGAUUUUGUGUGAUAGGUUUUCUGGAUUUAACCGGAAUGUAAGUUCAUUUCUGUAGUUUAUAUUUGGAGCAUUGUCACUAUAGGUUCCAUUUUAUCUGAAUAUUUGUUUCAUAUAUAUGAUGUUAUAGUAUGGAGUAAUUUUGCGUCACAUUUUAUUUAUGCCCGAAUCUGCAUUGUGGAAUUUAAGCGACAUGUAUAAAGAAUCAUUUUUUUACGGAUAGUAAAAUUUUAUUUCUUCAACCCAUUUCCACCUAAUGUGUAAAAGGCGUGCUUUAAAUGAUUAAAGUCUUCAAACAUCCGAGUUAUAGCGAUCUAUGUAUAAACGCCCGCUUUUGUUGUGAAGCGUCUGGCACUGGUGACACGACACUUUUUUUUAAUUAGUUUGGUGGUUUUAAAACUAGGUUUGUGUUUCUUGUACUAGCAAUAAUUUUCGACAAUUUGGGUUAGGCGGGCGACCAUUAUGGCCAAGCUUACUAUUAUAGCCAGAAUGCAGAAUCGGGUCAUAUUUUCUUCAUAACGCAUAUAUCAAUGUUUUUUCUCACAACACAGAGGAAAAUCAAUACAGAAGCUAUUCCUAAUAUCUUCCAGUGUCCAUAUUGUCCUGGUUAGGCGUACAUUGCGUUCGUAGUAUUGUUACGCAGUUUACUGGUUAUUCUAAAUAACAGUGAAUACAAAGGGACUUAUUGUAAGGAAGUUUGGCAAAAAAAGAGUAAAACAUUUUUUUUUUAACUUUAGAGUGGAUCUCCGAGCACAGAAAGUCAAUAUCAUUCGUAUCAACUAUCCAGUUAGAACUCACGUAUAUUUUCGACAUACAUAAUUUCUAACUGGACAGUUGCUAAAAGACGAAAAGAUUCGCGGAUAUUUUUACGUCGACGCUAAUGAUAUUUCAAAAGUCAAUCAAUAUCAAGGGUUUAAAAUAGCCACAUCGAAGCAAUUCAUCUAAGAAAGCAAUAUUGCUAUUUGACAUUUGUUUGCAUUGCGCACUUACUUUUAUAUGCGCAAAUUUCAUUUUUAGAUGAAUUUCUUCGGUGUGUCCUUGUUAACCCCCCAGUGCGCUGAGACUCACCCUUUGGUUGUAUUUUUAGCGGGAAUCUAUAGCGAAUGAAUUCCUGAUCUUUUUUGUUGGAUGUUGUUUGUUUGUACUGGAUUUUGGUUUGUAAAAGUGGUUUUUUAUUAGCCAUUUGGCUGAUUUGGCAUCGGAAUUUAUAUACGUGUGUCUUCCAAAUUGCCUCCAAAACAUUGUAGAGGCUUAAGAAAUGUUAUGGUUCAGAUAUUGUUUUGUUUUGUGUGAGUCGAAUUUGAAAAAAAAUACAUAAUAUAUGGUUGGCUCAAUAAAUAUAAUAUUCUAAUUUUUACUUUUUUUGCCAAAGUUACUAAUAUUUACGCCUGGAUAUUGAAAAUUUUAGUGCCUAUAUCGAGCUGGCGAACUGAUUUCCUACUCCGUAGGUGUAUGAAUAUAAAGGAUUAGUAAAUUUUAAAUUAGCGUUGAAUUUUUUGGUAUCAAGAGAAUCACUACGAAAACUAAACAAGUAAAAGUUUUACAUUUUAUUUUUUUGACCGGAAUCUAUGCAAAUGGAUCACAUUUAUUUUUUUACCUUCUAUUCAAUUCAAUGUGUAUAUUAAUAAGUCUCUUGAUACCAAAAUUCGUAUAAAUAGCAAGAUAAUAUAAAUUCACACUUUUAUAAACAGUCGCUGCAAACUUGGCUUGUUUUCACGAUGUCACAAUAACUAGUUGUAAUGUAACAGUAUUAUAUCCCGCACCUCAUUAGAUAUUUUGAUUGGACACGUAAAAUGUAUAAACGUAAUUUCCAAUAACAGUAAUGAGGUUGGAUUAUCAAUGUAUAAACAGAAGGAUUACAAAAGUAAAAUUGAAAGGCUUGUUUCAUCACCUGAUGAUAAGUGCCUGAUUGGUGCUUAUCCAGAACUUAUCUGGCAGAUAAGUACUCACAUGACAGGACAGUUUUUACGUGGUGAAACAGGCUCCGAAUUUGGUUGGACUUUUUGGUUACAGAGUGCUACAAAAUCGUCAAAUAGACCAAUUUCAUCAACCAUGGUGCCAGGGUUAUUAUAGAGCCGCCAAAGGGCGUCUGUUUGCUUCUCAAAAUAUUUAUUUUUUUAAACACAGAAAAAAUAUCAGAACAUUUGGACGCAACGUGACUUGGUUCUUCUUCUUCUUGGUUCACUAGAAAACUAAUAAACACAUUUUUUAAAAAAAAGCAAAUGUCAAACACCCACAUUCAGCCUAAAGGAGACUACAUACAUUACAUUAGAGAAAUCGCCACAGAUACAUUAUUCAACAUCACAGCAGAUAAAUGGAGACUGAGUAUCACCAUCACAUAGGUCCAACCACACAUUAUACUUACGAGAACUGGAUUUUGUUACACUCUGUGACGUUAUACAUAAUAAAAGCACAUAAUAACGGGUUCUUACCGCGUUUAAAAUGGCGAUAUGAGACUCCCGAUAUUUCGACACUGCUGCAAGUGCCAUGAUCACGGGAUGACUGAUGAGAUUGGAGUGGAGUAGGUAGAUCCAUAAUUUUCUACGGGCAGACAUAUCUGUCUACCCUAAACUUAACUUAUUAUGUGCUUUAAUUAUGAUAAUAACCGCGUAAACUUGAAACAAUGUCAUACAUAAAUCUAAGAUUUUUAUUAAAUUACGCUUGGAUUAAAAAUAAGAUAGUAAUGGAAUUAGUAUUUAAAAUCAUCCCUAACAGUGCCUAUAAGAUUUAAGAAAGAAAAGCUAAGAGCCUGUUCGACUACCGACUACAUCGGCCGAUAGUUCGACCGGCCUUGCCGUCUUAUACGUUUUAU
rnacentral:misc_RNA from 1 species